rnacentral:lncRNA from 1 species
GUCUGUUUCAUUUAACUGUUGCCUAUUGGAUAUGUUACACAAAUUAAUGUUGUGCGUGUGUAUACCUGCUUGUAUUCUCUCUUUUCAUUUAAUAAAAAUUCAUAGUUAAUAAUAUACAUACAUUUGAAAAUUGAUACAGAAUAUAUGGACAGAGACCUGAAUUUGAGCUUCGGAUAGAAGACGUUUAAGGGAUUUGGAGUAGCCGUUCUUCUCGAGGUAUCGAAUUACGGAAUGGAGAAGAAAAGCCUUCUGUUCUGGAUUGAGUGAUGUGGUGUUAAUCUGCUUCUUUGUCAUUGCUAAUGUCUUUGCACGAUGCUCAACGAGCAGUACUUGGCGAGGCUUCAACGCGAUUAGAGCUGCUAAGUUAGGGUUUGUGCUAGCGCUGCUUGUUGUCUUCAGCAUAAAUAGAUAUAACAAACACUCCUAUUACAAAGCUUACACUGUGCAGCGUGGGUUUUGUCGGAUGGCUGUAAUGUUCAGGGGGGAAGGUUUUAGAAAUUAGGGCUAGGGUUUUACCAUACGUGGCUGACUUGCUGGUGUAAAUUAAAAAGUAACGCGCAGUUUUAAAUCGGAGACAAAGAAAAAAGAAAACUGAGGGAAAUAAAAGAGUUUGAUUUUUUUUUCAUAACAGAGUAAAAAAGAG